UACGUAGGGUGCGAGCGUUGUCCGGAAUUACUGGGCGUAAAGAGCUCGUAGGUGGUUUGUCGCGUUGUCCGUGAAAACUCACAACUCAAUUGUGGGCGUGCGGGCGAUACGGGCAGACUGGAGUACUGCAGGGGAGACUGGAAUUCCUGGUGUAGCGGUGAAAUGCGCAGAUAUCAGGAGGAACACCGGUGGCGAAGGCGGAUCUCUGGGCCAUUACUGACGCUGAGGAGCGAAAGCGUGGGGAGCGAACAGG
rnacentral:rRNA from 1 species